GAGUCGAGACGAAUCCGAAUAGCGUAGAGAGGGUGAGUACUACUUCCAUCGCGAGACAGCGGCCAGCGUUGGAAGCUAUGACGAUUAGUUUUAUUGCCACGGUACAGCAAAACCGGUGAUAAUUAACGUCCGCAAGCAGAAGGGCUCCCCUUUUUUCUGCGCGUUCGUGCUGUUUAGCGGAGAAAACACACUACGGUAAAUUUUUCAGUUGUGGUAGGUCUACCGGAUCUUCCUGUUGCUUCCCAUUCCCAUCGGUAAUUCCGUUGUCUCCGUUCGGGAGCGUCCUCUGACGUCCUCCAGUUCAGCGUUAUUAUCAUAAUCGACGCAAUAGGCAUACGGUAGGAACCUAUCAACUAGCUAACAUCCAUCCAGCAGCGCUUGAUCUGCAUAGUGUCCACACAACGCACGAGAAGAGUUUUGCUCGAUGUCAUGUCUGGUCGAAGGUGUGCAUCUUGUUUGCAAACAUUUCUACCGAGCAGACGGCUGCAUUAUAAAUACGUGUCUAAACGAGUUCGAGACUUUUAUCGCAUGCACAACAGACCCAGUGUACCACCCGGUGUACAACCCAGGGAAAACGGGAAGCUUGUCCCGAUAAGGCAAAAGCUACCAAGCAAUGAAGGACCCGGGUGUGCCAUUUCGGGAAAGCGGUGCACGAUGGAAUGGUGCUGUGGAGAUUCAUAAAUUCGCAUCGGUUUUGGUUCACUCGAUCAGCAUCGAGUUUUGGUGCUACCGGGUGUCGCAACACCGGACGAACGUGGCAUAAACAUAUAUUUUGUGCUGGACUGCCGUACACAAACAGCGGACAUCGAACCGACGGAGAAAGAACGAAGAAAAACACAAACCUGGCUCCAUUUGAGCAAAGAAUUUAUGAGAAGCGAUUAUGAGCAAUGGGUCUCUGGUGUGUGAGGAAUUCAGAUUGUCCUGUAUGGAAACACUGUUUUACCGCAAAACCCCACGUCGGUGACCGACCGACCGAUAAGUCCGUAGGCUCUUGUUACCAUGGGAAAUGUACAGUUUUGCGGUGACACUAAAUCGUUCCGUCGAGUCUUGUUCGAUUGGAAAUAAUGUGAACAUAUUUCACUUCCCUCAAGAUGGCCAGAUCAGAUGAGCCUAUUCGUUUGCCAGGCUCGGUGUGAACUUUUGCUUGGUUGAUAAAAAUGAAAGCCCAGUUCUUCCCCAACAUUACCAUGGACAUGUUUGGCGAUUGAAUAAAUCCAUAAAACAUCAACAACCGAACCUUGGGGACACCCUCGUCCAAACAGCGAAAAGUGCCAGUAAAACCAAAAA